rnacentral:rRNA from 1 species
GGGUAGUUUGACUGGGGCGGUCUCCUCCUAAAGAGUAACGGAGGAGCACGAAGGUUGGCUAAUCCUGGUCGGACAUCAGGAGGUUAGUGCAAUGGCAUAAGCCAGCUUGACUGCGAGCGUGACGGCGCGAGCAGGUGCGAAAGCAGGUCAUAGUGAUCCGGUGGUUCUGAAUGGAAGGGCCAUCGCUCAACGGAUAAAAGGUACUCCGGGGAUAACAGGCUGAUACCGCCCAAGAGUUCAUAUCGACGGCGGUGUUUGGCACCUCGAUGUCGGCUCAUCACAUCCUGGGGCUGAAGUAGGUCCCAAGGGUAUGGCUGUUCGCCAUUUAAAGUGGUACGCGAGCUGGGUUUAGAACGUCGUGAGACAGUUCGGUCCCUAUCUGCCGUGGGCGCUGGAGAACUGAGGGGGGCUGCUCCUAGUACGAGAGGACCGGAGUGGACGCAUCACUGGUGUUCGGGUUGUCAUGCCAAUGGCACUGCCCGGUAGCUAAAUGCGGAAGAGAUAAGUGCUGAAAGCAUCUAAGCACGAAACUUGCCCCGAGAUGAGUUCUCCCUGACUCCUUGAGAGUCCUGAAGGAACGUUGAAGACGACGACGUUGAUAGGCCGGGUGUGUAAGCGCAGCGAUGCGUUGAGCUAACCGGUACUAAUGAACCGUGAGGCUUAACCUU